CGAGCAGGUCGGGUGAUCGCCCCGGCGGCGUUCAAAGCGCAAUCGGGGAGGAAAGUCCGGACUCCGCAGAGCAGUGUGCUGGCUAACGGCCAGGGUCGGUGGCGCCUCUUUUCGCCAGCGCCAUAGGAGGGGCAUCGCCGAUACGGACAGUGCCACAGAAAAUAUACCGCCCCGGCUUGCCGGGGUAAGGGUGAAAAGGUGCGGUCCCGGAACCUCUUUCCAAAGAGGGGGACUUAAUGUAAGAGCGCACCGCCCGGAGGGCGACCUCCGGGGCAGGGAAAACCCCACACGGAGCAAGACCAAAUAGGAGGGGAGGAGCGGCUCGCUCCGCAACCUCGUCCCGGCUUGCCGGGACGGGGGGUCACCUUCGGGUAGGUCGCUAGAGCCCGGGAGCAAUCCCGCGGCCCAGAGGAAUGAUCGCCACCCCAGUGCGCCUUCGGGCACGCCGGGGAUACAGAAUCCGGCUUACAGACCUGCUCGCCGA
rnacentral:RNase_P_RNA from 2 species